CAUUAACAUUAGUUUACCACAUAUAUCCGUGAACUCUUUUAUUCUUACUUGCAAAAUGUAAAUUAUCUUGAACUGGGCAAGGAAUUUAACAUUUUAGACUGAAAUAGCCUAGUUGGAAAUAUUUCCAGUUUAACUCCUUAUCCAAAUUGGUUAUUUUGGCCUAAGAUAUUCAAUUAUCAGUUCACAACUACCAGGAUAGUGAAUAACCCUUUUUGAGACUUUAGUGUAAACUGAUAAUUGUGGAAAACUGACCAGGGAAAUAUAAAUUGCAGAGCAAAAUAGCUACUUGAAGAGACUUGGAGAAUAUUUUGGCCAAACAAAGAAAUUAUAAUUCCUUGGUCAAAUCUCCACUAAACUUGUUUAGUAAAUAUAGAUCUUUGUGAAAGUGUUUAUGUCAUAUCAUAACUCUUGAUGUACUUGGUAUCACAAUGUCCUAAACAUGUUGUUUGCAAAAAAAAAAACAACAACCAAGAGUAAAAUGCACACACUAAAAAAGCGGGGGAAUACUUCCUGCAGGGUGCUCUAGAAAGGGAGGGUCAAUCCCUGAAGACAUCUAAUGAAAAAAAAAGAAAUAUCCUGGCACACCUGAGGUUUCUUCUAAAAGACAGUCUUUAUUUGAAACAGGGUCCUCUCUGAGCGUUUAGCAAGUCAGACUUGAUAAAGGCUCAGAGAGGAGCUGAAACGUGUCUCCACUUCCUUCCACAAUUUCUGGAUUGAC